CGGUAGCUGGACCGUUCGACAGGUCUUAACAUCCCGAGGACCUUACAUCUCUGAGAGGGAGCUGCUCUGGACUGGACCGUGGUCCUAUCUAAGCGGCGCCCACCUGGUUUACCGGGUCAUCAGGGUUGGAAAACGACCACCGGCGGAAUUGGCGCCGCC
rnacentral:other from 1 species